rnacentral:tRNA from 1 species
GGAGGAGUUCCCGAGUGGCCAAAGGGGGCGGACUGUAAAUCCGUUAGCUGAGCUUUCAGUGGUUCGAAUCCACUCUCCUCCA